rnacentral:tRNA from 1 species
AAGUUAUUAGCUAAUGGAAGCAUGCCUGUUUUGAAAACAGGUAUAUGGUGUUCAAGUCACCAAUAACUUU